UGCAGUCGACGAGUUCUCGUUGAUGAUCGGUGCUUGCACCGAGAUUCAACAUGGAACGAGUGGCGGACGGGUGAGUAACACGUGGGUAACCUGCCCUUAAGUGGGGGAUAACAUUUGGAAACAGAUGCUAAUACCGCAUAGAUCCAAGAACCGCAUGGUUCUUGGCUGAAAGAUGGCGUAAGCUAUCGCUUUUGGAUGGACCCGCGGCGUAUUAGCUAGUUGGUGAGGUAAUGGCUCACCAAGGCGAUGAUACGUAGCCGAACUGAGAGGUUGAUCGGCCACAUUGGGACUGAGACACGGCCCAAACUCCUACGGGAGGCAGCAGUAGGGAAUCUUCCACAAUGGACGCAAGUCUGAUGGAGCAACGCCGCGUGAGUGAAGAAGGCUUUCGGGUCGUAAAACUCUGUUGUUGGAGAAGAAUGGUCGGCAGAGUAACUGUUGUCGGCGUGACGGUAUCCAACCAGAAAGCCACGGCUAACUACGUGCCAGCAGCCGCGGUAAUACGUAGGUGGCAAGCGUUAUCCGGAUUUAUUGGGCGUAAAGCGAGCGCAGGCGGUUUUUUAAGUCUGAUGUGAAAGCCCUCGGCUUAACCGAGGAAGCGCAUCGGAAACUGGGAAACUUGAGUGCAGAAGAGGACAGUGGAACUCCAUGUGUAGCGGUGAAAUGCGUAGAUAUAUGGAAGAACACCAGUGGCGAAGGCGGCUGUCUGGUCUGUAACUGACGCUGAGGCUCGAAAGCAUGGGUAGCGAACAGGAUUAGAUAC
rnacentral:rRNA from 1 species